UGGGGAAUUUUGGACAAUGGGCGCAAGCCUGAUCCAGCCAUGCCGCGUGCGGGAAGAAGGCCUUCGGGUUGUAAACCGCUUUUGUCAGGGAAGAAAUCUUCUGAGUUAAUACCUCGGGAGGAUGACGGUACCUGAAGAAUAAGCACCGGCUAACUACGUGCCAGCAGCCGCGGUAAUACGUAGGGUGCAAGCGUUAAUCGGAGUUACUGGGCGUAAAGCGUGCGCAGGCGGUUUUGUAAGACAGAGGUGAAAUCCCCGGGCUCAACCUGGGAACUGCCUUUGUGACUGCAAGGCUUGAGUGCGGCAGAGGGGGAUGGAAUUCCGCGUGUAGCAGUGAAAUGCGUAGAUAUGCGGAGGAACACCGAUGGCGAAGGCAAUCCCCUGGGCCUGCACUGACGCUCAUGCACGAAAGCGUGGGGAGCAAACAGGAUUAGAUACCCUGGUAGUCCACGCCCUAAACGAUGUCAACUGGUUGUUGGGAAGGUUCCUUCUCAGUAACGUAGCUAACGCGUGAAGUCGACCGCCUGGGGAGUACGGCCGCAAGGUU
rnacentral:rRNA from 1 species